GCCUGGGUGGCUCAGUCGGUUGAGCGUCCGACUUCGGCUCAGGUCAGGUCUCGCGGUCCGUGAGUUCGAGCCCCGCGCCAGGCU
rnacentral:tRNA from 1 species